rnacentral:lncRNA from 1 species
UGCCUGGGGUCACAUCUUACACAGAGGCCAAGCAGGUGAACAGGUUCCUGGUCAUUGUAGGGCUAGAUGGGAAAGCCAAGGCCCCCCACCCCUCCAUCGCGCUCCCCAGACCCGCCAAGAUCUCCCCCAUGGUCUGGGAGAGAAGCUGGGCAGCCCCAGGAGAUGGGAGAACUGUGAGGCUGGCGGGAGCUCUGUCUGUGGUGUGUCUGAGCGAGAGGGUGGCUGUUUAUGUCAACAAGGACAUGCUCCAGGCUGCCAGACUCUCCCCAGCCCGAGUGACCCUGCGGGACCCCAGCUGUGCAGCCCAGUCCAAUGGCACCCACUUCCUGCUGGAGUCCUCCCUGGCCAGCUGCGGUGCCCUGCGCAUCCCGGCCCUGGACCCCACCUCGGGCGUUGGGCGGUACCAGAACACGGUGAGC